AACAGUUAAAUAAAUAAAUAAAUAAUAAAUAUUUAACGCCGAAUUCCAGGAGGGCAAACUUCACGCAGCCCGUCAUUCUUCAGCAAAUUUACACAGAUAUUUGGACUGCUGUUCCCUGCUUCUGCCUGUGUGUACGUGUGCGUGCAUGCGUGUGCGUGUGUUUUCUCUGCUCCUUUCGAGCCAUUGUGCUUAACUGAAUUUUAUAACGCUGAUCGAUAUCUUGGUAAAAUAUUCAUUUUUAAACUAGCGGGCAGUGAAAUCUUUGCUUUGUGCUAAAGUCAACAGUCGCUCCAAUAAAUGCCGCGAUGCCUUGCCGCCGAGUUGCUGUUGGCGGGGCGCCUGGGCUCGUCACCGUCGCCUCUGCGAUCGGCAGAUCCAGGGCAUCAGCAGUGAUGUAGUAUUGUGAUAUAGUAUUGCCAGUCUACAUUGCAAUACUGGAGCUACCAGCCGCACGUCUUUCUGAAAUGCUGUCCUGCUGAGAGGGAAGAUGGUGUUUGAAUGGGAAGGACCAAGAUGACUGAAUUCACUUUAAGGCUUCAUAUCUAGAUGCAGACCUCAGUGCUGUGGAAUUGUGCAUGAGGGGAACCAGCUUCUUCUCAUUGGUGAGAUGCAAGAAUGGGGGUGUUAAAAACACACUCUAGAGUGUAAUUAACUCAUGUUCAAUUAUUUUCAUACACACUCUAAGGGGCAAAUAAUGAUAUAGUUCACAAAUGCUUAUACACCUCUUGAUGUAUCUUUUAACCAUUGCAUGUUUGCUGCUUUGCAGCUUAGCUCACCCCUUUCUGGUGUUUGAUCUGUGAAUGCUAUUUUACACAACUACCACCAAAUAUGAACAUACACGUGAGAACUGAUUAUAAGUGUUUCCUGUUCCCAAUACCCAAUGGACCUUCAAAAGUGCCCAAUAAAUUUAGGAGCCUGAACACAAUGGACCUAUGGUGUUUCCCCAUCCUCUGAGAACACAGCAUUGUUGUGAGUGUGUAGGUAACAGAGGACAGAAUCUAGCCAAUAGAAUCACAGAAUUGUAGAGCAGGAAGGUACCCCGGAGGGUCAUCUAGUCCAACCCCCUGCAAUGCAGGCACCUCAACUAAAGUAUCCAUGACAGAUGGCCAUCCGAUCUCUGUUUAAAAGUCAUUCCACUGUCGAACAGCUCUUACUGUCAUAACAUUCCUGAUGUUUAGUUGGAACAUACCCAACUUGCUCAACCGUUCCUCAUAAGGCUUGGUUUCCAGACCCUUGAUCGUCUUAGUUGUCCUCCUCUGCACAUGUUCCAGCUUGUUAAUGUCCUUCUUAAAUUGUGCACCCAGAAUUGAACACAGUAUUCCAGGUGUGGUCUGACUAAGGCAGAAUAGAGUGGUACUAUUACUUCCAUUGAUCAAGACACUAGACUUCUGUUGAUGCAGCCUAGAAUAGUAUUAGCUUUUUUGCUGCUGUAUCACACAUGUUAAGCUUGUGGUCCACCAAGACCCCUAGAACCUUUUCACAUGUACUAUGGGCAAGCCAGGUUUUCUCAGUCUUAUAUUUGUGCAGAUUUAUGUCAAAUCUAUUUCAGGCGUAGUGACUUAAGCAUGUGCUGAACUUCUCUUGUUGCAGUAGAUAGGGCUCUUUUAAUAGUGAUUUAUUCCCUUACUUUGUGUUUUAUAGAAAUUUCUUUUAAAACACAUGCAGCAUACCCUGUAAAAUUAAAAUAAGAGAUACCUUUCACUCUCCUGAAGUACGAUAAAUUAUGUGCAAAAUUAACCUGGUAUUUCCUUGGUUACUUAUUAACCAUAGUUCAUUUAACAGAAUCAAUAUUUCUGGGGAAGAAGUAAACACUUACCACACUGGCCCCUCUUUUUCCUUUACCUUUACAACCUGAAUUUUUUUAUAAAAAGGGUGGGGGGGGGGAAGCAUCUGCCUGGAAACCAAAGGAGAACGAGGGACCGUGCCUGUUAUCUUGGGGAUAUGCAAAGCACAUUUUAUUUCGCCUUUUAUCUCUCCAAUUGUAUGUUGAUCCCAUACAUAUAGAUUGAUUUUGCACAGGUAGAUAAUGAAAAGUCAAGGGGGAAAAUUUACACAACGGCACUCAGCAUCUCAGCUCUCUAUUGGUAUAUAAAUUGGUUUAUUAUUUCAUUCUCUUAAAGAGAGCACUUUAAAAUAUAGCAUGUUUAAACAUAAAUCGAUUUACCAUUCAUACGCCUUUUCCCCUUUGUAAUUUCCACAGCAUUUUGGGAAGUUAAUUUCAAAGAUAUUUACAUGUAAACAUGAUCUUGUUUAUUCCUACCUCUCUCAUCCAUCACCUUCUUCCUAUAGUCAAGGCUCUCAUGUGAAAUAUCUGAUAGGAUGACAACGGCAGCUGGAAGCCCAGAACACGUAAGUGUUUCUCUCUCCAUUUGAUGAUACCUUGCGAGCCAUUCACCGUAAUUCACCGUAAGUGCUUUGCUUUUAGCCAGUGUAACCUAUAUUCAGGGUGGCAAUUCCAGUGGAGAGGGAGGGCCUGUAGGCUUGGAGCAAAAACAACAACAGAAACCCCAAACAGAAAUGAAAGGAAACAUGAUUAAAAAACAUUUUCUGGACAUUUGGUGGCACACAUUUUGGCUGCUGCAGCUUAAAGCAAUUAAUUCAGGAUACUGACAUUAACUCUCUAGCUCAUUGACAGCUUGGAGCUGGGACUAAAAAUGCUAGUUCUCCAGGGAAAAGAGGCGGCUAGCUGGUUCUUUUUCUGGACUGUUUGCUUAUAGGCCCAGAGAGCAAUCUUCCUUGCAGAAUGAAAUGCAAGGACACAAACAAUGUCCCAGGGAGAGAAUGGGAGAUGGGAAUGAACAGUUUGAACUAUUUGCUCAGCAGAAGGGCAGCCACAAUUGCCGGCCAAUGGCUUUCCCAUGCAUCAGCCAGGGCUUCUUAGCCUCUUUUGUUGUUCUUCUACUUCCUUUAGCCAGAUAAGAACACAGCUGCAGAGAUUCCAGCUAACUUUGGGCCUGGAUUUAUUCACAUAAGUCUCCAUUCAUCUUUACUGUAUUUAUUUGUUGCAUAAGUUUCUGUCCUAUUUCUUUGAAAUGUGGGUUUCAUUUUCCCACUCCGAAAUGAGAACUAUAUUCUGUAAAAGAAAAGAAAAAAGAAUUUGCAACUUCUUGUCAUAUUUGUGCUACUUCCCAUUUCCUUUGCUUUCUCAAAGAGAUGGAAGGAGUCACAGAGAGGUUUUAACCAGAUCCCCCACUAAAAUUGCUUAGUUAGUGUUCCAGCCAAAGUUAAGCAAUAUCAAUUUUGUCAAUUUUGAGUGAGUAGUACACAGUCUCCGCCAUUUACAGGGUUUACCUGGGGAUGGAUCAGGCCCAUUCUGCAUGUUUACGCAGAUCAUUUCAUGAAAUGUGCAUUAGAGUGCAGGUUUAGGUCCUCAAGAUUCCGGUUAAUUGUUCUUUGUUUAGUUCUAAAAAAAAUGUCUGUAGGAUGGAAAACACUUUCAAUGCCACGCUACCAUACUGCGUAGGAAUGCAAUGGGAUUUCAGCAGUGCACUAUUUUGUGCUUCAUUGAAAAAGCAAAGAGAUUGCAGAGGUGGUUACACGGCAAUCAGAUAAAAUUAUCCUGAAGAAUAAUAAUCAUAUGUGGUGUGAAACAUGCAGUGUAAGGUCUCAAAUGGUCCUCCCUCCUGCUCAAUAAUUGUCAGCACAUAAAAAACACCCACAUGAUAGCUUAUAUAUACACACAGACAUUUAUAGAACUGUCACAUAUAAUGCUUCCACAUAUGCAACAUAACUUAUCACAGAUACAUAUACACAGGGUUAUAUAAAAAACACAGGGUUCACAUAUAGAAAACUGAAUUAAUUUUGGGGUAUUAAAAAUGUAAAUGUCCCAAGUACCCAUGCAGUGCCACCUGUUUGUGAAUGAAUGGUAUAUGUGCAUUUACAUCUUUUAAAAGAUUUAUAUGCAGUUUUUCAUGAAAAAUGCCACUGCAGUGUGAUAUGGGCACAUUCUUCCACAAUAAUGCAGGACCAACAGCAAUGAAAGUAUCUGCACAUCACCCACAACUGGGGAAACCCAACCAUUUACAUCUAUGUAAAUGGUUACGUGUGAGUAUUAUGAGAGUUGUUACCAUAUUUUGCUAUUUUAAUUCUGGUCUUUUCUCAACCACAAUUUAAAAUGUAACAUGCGAACUUUUUGCAUGAGUGGACUUGUGCAAGUGGUCUGACUUCUGUGUUAGCUUUUUAUAUUUGGUCCUGAGUAUCUGAUCUCUGGUCAGAUCUGCAUGGAGUGCUUAAAUACUAAAGUUAUGUGGAAUGAAAACCAGGGAAAUUGCCUUUCAUGUAAACCAACAUGAGAAGCAUUUGUGCUGAUUUCUGUAUAGGUUUCCAUGUCAUUGCCCUUAAAGCUGUACUUCUAUAGUAUCACCAAUGUACAGUGCUUUACAGCAUAACAUCAGUGAAAGCGAUAGGGCUCUCCUUCCUCCAAAUUUAAAUCCCAGAUAUCCUGUUAGAAGAUUAAUUAAACUUGAAUGAGUGUAGAAUGAGGUAGAAAGUCAUUUUUUAAAAGCAACAAGAGAGUGAUUUAAUGUGAACAAAUUGAACAUUCUCAGUCAAUGUGCAACCUCACAGGAAACACAAUGUUUGCACAUCACUUUUUCCAGUGCAAAACCUCUGAAACUGCAGGGAUUUUUCCUCUACUGGGUGGUCAGGAGGCAAGGCUGAAAGGCAAAAGGACUCCUAUUGUCCUCUGCUGUGUCUUAACAGCUGGCCUCACGUGCCUCUAAAAAGAAGAAAGCACCUGUUUAUCUCGUUAUCCCCUGCUUCUAUGAGCACCAAGCUACCCCCACAGAGAUAGGGUCCUUGGCUGGUGGGGGGAGGGGUAUCUCUAAAAGUGCUUUGAAAGCCCCCACAUCAGCCUUGAUCCAGAUACAGUCAUACACUGAUCAAGACAUUGUUUCAGGAUGCUCACUUCCAAUAUGGCUGGAAAUCUUUGCCCACUCUAUCUAUGUCACUACAUCCUGAGUAGUCUUGAAGACAUAUCCAGUCUGAGCAGGGGAUUCCCAUUCAGAAACACAGAGGCAAAGGUGUUCAUGAUUGUCACGUUACACAAACUGGACGAAGAGAGUCAAGCCUAGAAUGGCAGUUGGCAGUUACACUUUGGCAGUUGGGAUUUGACAGUUACAGCCUGCCUUGUCACAUGACACUCCCCCAAAGACCUUGAGAGCAGUAAUAUAAACAUAUUUAUAAAUAUAACUUAUUUAUAUACUUUUAUCUACAAGAUUCAGCUUUGCAAUCAAUUCACUAUGUUGUACCCCAGGGAACGCUUUUGUAAAUAAAUCAGACAAAUUAUCAUGUGAUUGACAAUACACUAACGUAAUCACAUUAUGUUUUAUAUAAUCUUUAACACUGAAAAACUUAAUGUUUCGCACGUGUUGAAGUGUUCCCUGAAUUAGCGAUUGCGAUACAAGCUUGAUUAUCCUCAUAGAUUUUCACAGGCUGUUGUACUUUAUAUUCCAAAUCAUGUAAUACAUGUAUGUACCAUGUGACUUCGCUACACGCUUCUGAUAAUGCAGAAAAUUCUGCCUCACAAGUUGAUGUGGCAACAAAACCUUGCUUUUUCGAUUUUCAACCAAUUAGUGAAUUUCUAAACAUAACCACUAAUACGCUGGUUGACUUUCUUGUGGAUGGACAAUUUGCGAAAUCACUGUCCACAAACACCUGUAAAUCAUUUGAAUUAGAUGCAAAUUUUUUUACACUUAUUCUGUGUACCCUUCAAGUAUCUCAGAAUUCUCUUAACAGCAGCCCAAUCAUUUAAACUAGGCUUACUCACGUUUCUGCUUAGAAUACCUACACUAAAAGAAAUAUCAGGCCUUGAACAGUGGCUCAGGUACAAAAGAGAGCCUAUUACUUUCAGUCUUUUGAAAAUCUAUAGUCAUAGGAGUUUGUACAGCAUUACAAUUCUGCAUUUCUAGCUUUUCGAGCAGAUCUUUAAUCUUUCGCUCUUAGCAUAUUAAGAAACUUUCAUCUGCUUCUCUGCAUAUUUGAACCCCUAAAUAAUGACUUAUUGGUCCUAGAUCUUUCACUUCACUUCAUUAUUUUCCCAACUGUUUUGCUAUCUUUUGAAUUUUGCCUGUGGAACUACCUGCUAGCAUCAAAUCAUCUACAAAAAUCAAAACCAAUAUAUAAUCAUUGCCUGAUCCUUUUGUAUACAAACAAGAAUCAGCAAUACUUCUUUUAAAUCCAAGAUUUAAGAGUUGUGUGUUUAUACAAUCGUUCCAACAUUUAGCAGUUUGCUUAAGACCAUAGACAGCCUUGUCUAAUUUCCACACUAAAUCAUUCCCUUCCUCAAAACCUGGUGGUUGUCGCAUGUAUAUCACCUGGUCCAGAGGAGCAUUUAGAUAUGCAGAAGUAAUAUCAUAAUGACUCACUUCCAGUUUCUUGUCAGCUGCAACAGACAAAACAAGCCUCACUGAUUCUGCCUUUGCAGAGGGCGCAAAAAGCUCAUCAUAGUGAAUUCCUGGCUUUUGUGCAAAACCUUUUGCUACCAGUCUAGCUUUAAACCGUGUAUCACCAGAUACCCGAGUCUUUCUUUUAAAGACACAUCUGCUAGAAAUUAAAUUUUUUAAAGGCAACUUAAUGGGCGUAUGAGAUAGGGUCGAUAAGACCUCACUUAACAUCGCAGGCUGCUUGAGGAGAGGCUCCCUUCUGAUCCUGCUGGGAGCCUCUCCUCACCCCUCGAAAGGGCCACUUAACCCCACAGGAUGUGGCAGGGUGACUCCUGAAACACUCAUCACAAACAUGGGAAUACCUACAUCCCUGAUGCUGGCAGGACCCCUUAUUGUAUUCCCAACAAAUAAGGUGCCUCCCUGCUUUCUUAAUAGCUUGCUUGGAUUUUGGCUGCUCAAUGGACUUACUCUCGAAAUUUGGAGAGACAUAAGUAGUCCACACAUCAAGAUCUUUACGAUCCCAUGGAGCAUAAGGGAUCCUGGCGGCCCGACGACGAAAACUCUCGCCGUAGCUUAUAGCUGCCGCCUCACUGGCCAAUGCAAAGGCUUUACGCACCAAAGAUUGAAAAAUCCACAGGUGCAAACUUCUCUAGGGGUAAGCUGCAGAAAUAACCCCAUAGAAACCAAAUGUAACAGAAACAAAUACAGUGGUACCUCUACUUACGAAUAACUCUACUUACGAAUGUUUCUACUUACGAAUGGAGCUCCGUCUGCCAUCUUGGAUGCGGUUUAGAUAGGAUUUUUUCUACUUAUGAAUUUUUAGAUGGGGUUGCUUUGACUUACAUUUUUUUUCUCCCAAUGCAUUCCUAUGGGAUUCAACUUACAUUUUUUUUGACUUAUGAAUGUGCCUUCGGAAUGCAUUAAAUUCGUAAGUAGAGGUAUCACUGUAUACUGUGAAAUUCCCUGAAAUGAGAGGUAAUCAGAUAAAAUAAAAAUAUUUAAGGAGCUAAGGAUAUCAGAAAACUAAUAGUAACGACUGAUAUAGAAAUAAUUAACGAAAAUAAUCAAAGCCUUAACGGAAUGCCGGCUACAACCUCGUUUCACUGCGAUUAACAGUUUCCUCAGAAGGAAAUUGAAAGAACUGUAUUUUCAAUAAACAUCAUUCAAAAAUAAAGAGUAAGGAAACACUAAUUUUGCAUAUUAAAGACCUAAUAUGCAGGCAAAAAAGGGGAUUCAAAUUAAGCUAUAUAGCUUUCUAAAAAAGUCAAAGCCUGGGCUAUGCCAACACCAUUCAAAGAUAAAGGGCAAUAAAAUUUAGAUUUUGCAUUCUCAAGGCCUGAAACGUAGGCAAACAAGGGGUUCUAAUUAAGCUAUAUAGCUUUCUGAAAAACUCAAAGUCUGGGCUGCAAGAGCUCCAUGAUCUAAUGUUUCGCAAAGAUCAUGGAGUUCUCGCAGCCCAGACUUUGAAACAUAUCCUGACACGGGAGAAGUAUUAAUAUCCUGCUAAUCCAAGAGGAUUCCUGCAGCAAGGGAGAUACGCCGCCUCUUUAACAAUCUUCUUCAGAUUACCAGGUGCUGUUAAUGACAAAAACCAUACUCAGGCUGUAUCAACUGCAAUGUUCCUAGCUCCCUUCCCUUAAUUGUUAAGGGGUAUUAGAAGCUCAGAGAAGCAAAUGUCCUUCUGUCUCCUUUCCUCACUCCAUAAGAUGUUCCUGCCGCAGCUCAUGAUACUGUUGUCCAGGGCUGGCUGAAGACGUUUUGGCACCUAGGGCAAACCACAAAUCUGGCCAGGAAAGGAGGGGUGAGUGAAGAGUUACAUCUGAAAUAAGGUACUCACUUCUUCUACCCCUUCAUAGGUGCCAACUUCCUGAGGCCCUGCUGUGUGCCUGAGCACCCAUAAAAUUCCCCAUGAAGGGGCUGGGCACCCACGGCCCCAGGCACCCACAGUUGUGUAGCCAAGUUGUCACUCCUGUACCUCUUUUUCCUUAGAGCUUUCUGUCUACUCUGCCCAUCUCAAGGAUUGGAGAAGUUCAGCCAAUCAGUUACUGCCAGAGGCUUCAUUACCAUUGCCACGUCUCCAUCAGCUAGCAGAUUAAACUCCUGAUUGGUGGAGGGGGGGGUCUCUUUGCUUUUUUAAUGGGGCAUUUAUACUUUCAAUUUCUUCAAAUGUGCUGCCAAAAAAGGGUUCCCCUGUACGUUCUUAUGAUAUAAUGUGCCUUUUCUGUUUUAGGAAUUAAGCUGAAGUGGCAUUGCUGGCUCCACAGUCAAGGACUGUGCAGCAAGAGGCCAAGUCUUGAGUACCAUUCUGAGCACACCUGACUUUUGAACUAAGCAAAGACCCAUCUUACACUAGCAAAAAUGAAACAAAAUAAAAACUAUGAUGUGGGAAGGCCUGUUCUUAGAGCACCACAUACACAAAUAGGAAAGGUGAAAGAAAACACCCAGUUACAAGACAGAUGCUUCUGGGUGCCCCUAAAACCUGGAGCCAUUCAUGGUAUAACAGUGAACAGAAGGAGCUCUCCAUUGAAAGAGACAGGAGUGCCAGGCGUGCUCUGGUCCAUGGGGUCAUGAAGAGUCGGACACGACUAAACGACUAAACAACAACAACAAGUUCUUUACAGAGUCAACAGUUUUCUGUAAACCUCUUCAGAGGUCUUUUCUUGAUUAAGUCACAUGUAAAUCUGGCUAAAAUAAUAAUAAUUAAACAGCAUCUGAACUCA